CGCUGGCGGCACGCCUAACACAUGCAAGUCGAGCGCUCUAACCACUUCGGUGGGGACGGGAGCGGCGGACGGGUUAGUAACGCGUGGGAACAUACCCUUUUCUACGGAAUAGCCUCGGGAAACUGAGAGUAAUACYGUAUACGCCCUUUCGGGGGAAAGAUUUAUCGGUUAAGGAUUGGCCCGCGUUAGAUUAGUUAGUUGGUGGGGUAACGGCCUACCAAGACGACGAUCUAUAGCUGGUUUGAGAGGAUGAUCAGCAACACUGGGACUGAGACACGGCCCAGACUCCUACGGGAGGCAGCAGUGGGGAAUCUUAGACAAUGGGCGCAAGCCUGAUCUAGCGAUGCCGCGUGAGUGAAGAAGGCCUUAGGGUCGUAAAGCUCUUUCGCCUGUGAUGAUAAUGACAGUAGCAGGUAAAGAAACCCCGGCUAACUCCGUGCCAGCAGCCGCGGUAAUACGGAGGGGGUUAGCGUUGUUCGGAAUUACUGGGCGUAAAGCGUACGUAGGCGGAUUAGUAAGUGAGGGGUGAAAUCCCAGGGCUCAACCCUGGAACUGCCUCUCAUACUGCUAGUCUUGAGAUCGAGAGAGGUGAGUGGAAUUCCGAGUGUAGAGGUGAAAUUCGUAGAUAUUCGGAGGAACAUCAGUGGCGAAGGCGGCUCACUGGCUCGAUACUGACGCUGAGGUACGAAAGUGUGGGGAGCAAACAGGAUUAGAUACCCUGGUAGUCCACACCGUAAACGAUGAAUGCCAGACGUCGGGUAGCUUGCUAUUCGGUGUCACACCUAACGGAUUAAGCAUUCCGCCUGGGGAGUACGG
rnacentral:rRNA from 1 species